CUCUUUGUGGUCUAGUGGUUAAGGUGUUGGACUAGGACUCUGGAGACCAGGGUUCAAAUUCCCGCUCGGCCA